rnacentral:tRNA from 1 species
UCACGUGUGGCUCAGUUGGUAGAGCAUGGUGUUUGCAAUGCCAGGGUUGUGGGUUCGAUUCCCACGGGUGAC